AAACUAACCAGGAUUUCCCUAGUAACGGCGAGCGAACCGGAAAGAGCCCAGCUUGAAAAUCGUGGUGCCUCGCACCUCGAGUUGUAGUCUGGAGAAGGUCCCUCUGCGGCGCGCCGGACCCAAGUUCCCUGGAAAGGGACGUCAUCGAGGGUGACAACCCCGUCCGCGCCCGGAACGCGUCGCUCCACGAGGACCUGUCUGCGAGUCGGGCUGUUUGGGAAUGCAGCCCUAAUCGGGAGGUAAAUUCCUUCUAAGGCUAAAUAUGGGCAAGAGACCGAUAGCGAACAAGUACCGCGAGGGAAAGAUGAAAAGGACUUUGAAAMGAGAGUUAAAAAGUGCUUGAAAUUGCUGGGAGGGAAGCGAAUGGAAGCUGCSGGUGCGCCCCGGUUGGAUGUGGAACGGCUUCGGCUGGUCCGCCGCUCAACGCGGGGCGCUGGUCAGCGUGGGCCGCGGCGCCGGGACAAGAGCGGGGAUUCGCUUCCCGCCUAUGCCGGUGCGGUGGCCGAGGAACGAAGCGCGCGCCYUUMGGGGYGUGGGUUCGCCCAACUGCGCGCUCGGGACGCUGGCGUAUUGAGCUCUUCAUCCGACCCGUCUUGAAACACGGACCAAGGAGUCUAACAUGUAUGCGAGCCGGUGGGCGGCAAACCCAUUGAGGCGCAAGUAAACUGACAGGUGGGACCCCGACCGCGMGGGAGGGAGCACCAUCGACCGACCGUGAUCUUCUGUGAAAGGUUUGAGUGUGAGCAUACCUGUUGGGACCCGAAAGAUGGUGAACUAUGCCUGAGCAGGGCGAAGCCAGAGGAAACUCUGGUGGAGGCUCGUAGCGAUACUGACGUGCAAAUCGUUCGUCAGACUUGGGUAUAGGGGCGAAAGACUAAUCGAACCAUCUAGUAGCUGGUUCCCUCCGAAGUUUCCCUCAGGAUAGCUGGAGCUCGUGUACAAGUUUUAUCAGGUAAAGCGAAUGAUUAGAGGCAUCGGGGGUGUAACACCCUCGACSUAUUCUCAAACUUUAAAUAGGUAAGCCGCCGGGGUUGCUUGGUUGAACCCCGGCACAGAAUGAGAGCUCCAAGU
rnacentral:rRNA from 1 species